UGUUCUUGACAUGGAGAUUCAGCAG
rnacentral:piRNA from 2 species